CCCGCCUGCCCUGUGACAAAUAGUUUAACGGCCGCGGUAUUUUGACCGUGCAAAGGUAGCGCAAUCACUUGUCUUUUAAAUGAAGACCCGUAUGAAUGGCACGACGAGGGCCUGACUGUCUCCUUUUUCCAGUCAAUGAAAUUGAUCUCUCCGUGCAGAAGCGGGGAUAAAACCAUAAGACGAGAAGACCCUAUGGAGCUUUAGACAAAGGCAGCUUUUUUAACAGCCCUGAAAUAAAAGGGACAUUUNGAAAAAACCUCUGCCCUANUUGUCUUUGGUUGGGGCGACCGCGGGGUAACAAAAAACCCCCACGUAGAUUGNGGAAUUAUUUCUCACAACCAAGAGCCACUGCUCUAAGCAACAGAACAUCUGACUAUNUAGAUCCGGCAAUGCCGAUCAACGAACCGAGUUACCCUAGGGAUAACAGCGCAAUCCCCUUUUAGAGUCCAUAUCGACAAGGGGGUUUACGACCUCGAUGUUGGAUCAGGACAUCCUAAUGGUGCAGCCGCUAUUAAGGG
rnacentral:rRNA from 1 species